rnacentral:lncRNA from 1 species
GUGGGUGUGUGUGCGAUCGUGAGGAGAGACCAGGGGAAACCUUCCCCUCAAAACCCUAACACCUCUCAAAUCAUCAAAUUAAGAAGAAAAUUGAAGGUCAAUCGAAUGCAUGUGAUCAAUUCCUUAGUCAUCUAAGGGUUUCCCAUCAUGGGUAUAGGAAUCAUGUCAAGACGGACUCAAGCAUAAAAGGAUAACGGGUCAAGAAAAGGCGAGGAAUCGGAUACGAGCACGGACGCAUAAGGUUGUACGAAUCACGGAUUAACCUCACAAGGAGUAGCGAUCGAAGACCGAGUCACAAGAUAGAUUGUACGGGAAUGUUUACAUAUGUAAUUUAGUGAUGAUAAGUUAUGUUUUUAUAUUUUAAAGUGGACUUUCAAGUAAGACAAAACGUUUAUAAUGAAUGAAAUUUUAGGGUACGUAUUUCCGCUGCGACUUAUGGUCAAAUGUGAUUUAGGGUCUUACAAGUUGGUAUCAGAGCCCUGGUUUGAGCAAAUCAAGUAUGAGAAGAUAAAUACUUGAACUCAAACCUGUGUGCUCUUGUGAUAAGGAACCCGUACAAUCCACGACUCGAUCAAGAUCUAAAGGUAAGCAUAAGUGUCUGAAGAGGAUGGUUCGUGAAUGCAGGAUAGGAUGAAUACUAAGGCUGGCAAAGGUGUAAAUAAGCUAAUGAACCCCAGGUACACACUAUUAAUAUGUAUGGGUAUCAAUGUUGAAAGAAAAAGGAAGAAAUCUCCUUGGGAAGGUAAUUAUUAAACGAAAGGUAAUGAUGUGGUCUUGGGGAAAUUUUAGAAAUGUGCACGAAACUGAAACCCAUUUCUCGGACAUAAGGCGAUGAUUACACGAAGGCACGAAACUAGUAUGCAGAUUGUGCACCUGGCCAGUAUGCAAUAAGCAUAUGACGUUCGUGAGACCGUGGUAAUUAUCACAGGUGUGUCCGGUAGAACUGGGUAACAGGUGGGCGUGCGGUGAAAUGGGUAGUAAGACUCUCGGGAAAUUGAGAGUACUACGUAAGAGUGAAAAGUAUGAGUGAUAAGAAUGAAGAAUGUUGAAUCCGUAAGACAGUACGGAUCAGCAAUGUAUGAAUGAAAUGUUUGAAUCCGCGAGACGGAUUCAAAGAAUGAAAGAUGCGAAUGCAAUGUUUGAAUACGCAAGAUGGAUUCAAAACAUAGAAGGUACGAAAGGUAUGAAUAAUGUAUUCGAAUCCGCAAAACAGAUUUAAGGUAUAAAAGACGAAACUAGUCUACAUAAGAAGUGUCGAUAGUCUGACCGUGAUUUUGUCAAAUGAGUCAUAUGGGUAAAUGUAAAGUAAGGAAACAAAAGAAUGAUCGUAAUGAGCAUGCAGACCUAAGUUAUAAAACGAAAGAAGGAAGUUUUGAACAAGUUAUGUGUUAAAUGUGUUAGAAAUCGACUCUUAGAAGUCAGAAUGAAUGACGGGCUAUGACCCAGACAAUGGUUUAAGUAUGAACAAAAAGGGUAAGUUUGUUAAGAAUACUAAAACGAUGUAAUGAAUGUCUUUGUAAGUAAGCAUGAGUGGAAGGAAGCACGAAUGUGUACUUCAAUGCAUCUAUGAUAAGUGAGAAAAUUCAGUUUAACCUUAAAAGGUUAAACUGCAAAGGUUGACGAAAUAAGUAACUAAAAUGAAAGAAUUGCGUGUAAGAAAUGGAAUGUAAGAUAUGUUAUAGCAUGUACGCAGGAAAUAUGUAACAGAAUUAUAGGUGACUAAUCACCUAGUAGACUCAGUAUUUGAAUGAGAUAUGCUAACCGCCAAUUUUGUAGGUGGUGAUGUUAGAAUUCGUAGUGUGAUGAAACCAAUUGAAUUAGUGGAAGGAUGUGCACGAGCGGAAGCACGCUACGCGGAUGAAGGAAAUCUGGCCGGGUAUGGCUAGUACUCGUGAAAAGACGGAUAGAUCUGGUUUACGGACCAUUGAAAUUAUGCAACGAAAUCGAGUAUAGGAAUCAUGUCAAGACGGACUCAAGCAUAAAAGGAUAACGGGUCAAGAAAAGGCGAGGAAUCGGAUACGAGCACGGACGCAUAAGGUUGUACGAAUCACGGAUUAACCUCACAAGGAGUAGCGAUUGAAGACCGAGUCACAAGAUAGAUUGUACGGGAAUGUUUACAUAUGUAAUUUAGUGAUGAUAAGUUAUGUUUUUAUAUUUUAAAGUGGACUU